rnacentral:lncRNA from 1 species
GUUGGCACAACACGAGCUGUAGGGUCCGCUGUGCCCAGCGGUUGGGGUAGCUGGGCACAGCCUGAGGGCUGAGAGGCAUCGGUGAGAUGCCUGGAGCUCGCGACGGCGUCUUGCAUUCGCAUUCACUCGCAAGCACUUCGUUAUGCCUACGUGGCAGUCAGCCCCAAAACCGGUCUGUACGGACGGCUCUGCAGGGGAGGGGCCCAACGGCCCCCUAAACCGCCCAGCCCUCCUUGUCAAAUACGCACUGGUCACCCACGGUAAAGGGGCUUGAGC